GAUGAAGAACGUAGCGAAAUGCGAUACUUGGUGUGAAUUGCAGAAUCCCGUGAACCAUCGAGUCUUUGAACGCAAGUUGCGCCCGAAGCCAUUAGGCCGAGGGCACGCCUGCCUGGGCGUCACACGUCGUUGCCCCCCCAUCUACUCCUUCGGGAUUGCGGGGGGCGGAUGAUGGCCUCCCGUGCGCCUCGCCGCGCGGUUGGCAUAAAUGCCAAGUCCUCGGCGACGCACGCCACGACAAUCGGUGGUUGCGAAACCUCGGUUGCCCGUCGUGUGCGGUCGUCGCGCAUCGAGGNNUCGAAAAAAUUGCCGGGUUCCGGCUCGGCUUUCAACGCGACCCCAGGUCAGGCGGGGUUACCCGCUGAAUUUAAGCAUAUCAAUAAGCGGAGGA
rnacentral:misc_RNA from 1 species